rnacentral:rRNA from 1 species
AAUAGAUACCCAGGUAGUCCACGCCGUAAACGAUGAGUGCUAAGUGUUAGGGGGUUUCCGCCCCUUAGUGCUGCAGCUAACGCAUUAAGCACUCCGCCUGGGGAGUACGGUCGCAAGACUGAAACUCAAAGGAAUUGACGGGGGCCCGCACAAGCGGUGGAGCAUGUGGUUUAAUUCGAAGCAACGCGAAGAACCUUACCAGCUCUUGACAUCCUCUGACAAUCCUAGAGAUAGGACGUCCCCUUCGGGGGCAGAGUGACAGGUGGUGCAUGGUUGUCGUCAGCUCGUGUCGUGAGAUGUUGGGUUAAGUCCCGCAACGAGCGCAACCCUUGAUCUUAGUUGCCAGCAUUCAGUUGGGCACUCUAAGGUGACUGCCGGUGACAAACCGGAGGAAGGUGGGGAUGACGUCAAAUCAUCAUGCCCCUUAUGACCUGGGCUACACACGUGCUACAAUGGACAGAACAAAGGGCAGCGAAACCGCGAGGUUAAGCCAAUCCCACAAAUCUGUUCUCAGUUCGGAUCG